rnacentral:rRNA from 1 species
GCUACGGGCGGCAGCAGUGGGGAAUAUUGCACAAUGGGGGAAACCCUGAUGCAGCGACGCCGCGUGAAGGAAGAAGUAUUUCGGUUUGUAAACUUCUAUCAGCAGGGAAGAUAAUGACGGUACCUGACUAAGAAGCACCGGCUAACUCCGUGCCAGCAGCCGCGGUAAUACGUAGGGGGCAAGCGUUAUCCGGAUUUACUGGGUGUAAAGGGCGCGUAGGCGGUUUAGCAAGUCAGAUGUGAAAUCCCGGGGCUCAACCCCGGGACUGCUUUUGAAACUGUUGAACUAGGUUGCAGGAGAGGUAAGUGGAAUUCCUAGUGUAGCGGUAAAAUGCGUAGAGAUUAGGAGGAACACCAGUGGCGAAGGCGGCUUACUGGACUGUAAAUGACGCUGAGGCUCGAAAGCGUGGGGAGCAAACAGGAUUAGAUACCCCAGUAGUC